rnacentral:rRNA from 1 species
AUGUCUGGAAGCACGGGAGAAUGUUCUUUUGCUGAUAUUAUUACCAGUAUUCGAUACUAGGUUAUUCAUAGCAUUACUAUACCUUCCCUAUUCAUUGCGGGUUGGUUAUUUGUCAGUACGGGUUUAGCUUAUGACGUGUUUGGAAGUCCUAGGCCAAACUAUUUUGUAUGUGAUUGUCAUUUAAUUGUGCUAUAUAGUAGUGACAAUCAUGUUUAA